rnacentral:rRNA from 1 species
GAUAAACGCUGGCGGCGUGCAUUAUGCAUGCAAGUCGAACGGUGUCGCAAGACACAGUGGCAAACGGGUGAGUAACACGUAAGUAACCUGCCUCUGAGUGGGGAAUAACUUCGGGAAACUGAGGCUAAUACCGCAUAUGGCGCGCCCUCGAUGGAGGGUUCACCAAAGCCGCAAGGCGCUCGGAGAGGGGCUUGCGUCCGAUUAGCUAGUGUGGGUAACGCUACCAAGGCUGUGAUCGGUAGCUGGUCUGAGAGGAUGGUCAGCCACACUGGGACUGAGACACGGCCCAGACACCUACGGUGGCUG